AGCCAUGCCGCGUGUGUGAAGAAGGCCUUCGGGUUGUAAAGCACUUUCAGCGAGGAAGAACGCCUGGUGGUUAAUACCCAUCAGGAAAGACAUCACUCGCAGAAGAAGCACCGGCUAACUCCGUGCCAGCAGCCGCGGUAAUACGGAGGGUGCAAGCGUUAAUCGGAAUUACUGGGCGUAAAGCGCGCGUAGGUGGCUUGAUAAGCCGGUUGUGAAAGCCCCGGGCUCAACCUGGGAACGGCAUCCGGAACUGUCAAGCUAGAGUGCAGGAGAGGAAGGUAGAAUUCCCGGUGUAGCGGUGAAAUGCGUAGAGAUCGGGAGGAAUACCAGUGGCGAAGGCGGCCUUCUGGACUGACACUGACACUGAGGUGCGAAAGCGUGGGUAGCAAACAGGAUUAGAUACCCUGGUAGUCCACGCCGUAAACGAUGUCGACCAGCCGUUGGGUGCCUAGCGCACUUUGUGGCGAAGUUAACGCGAUAAGUCGACCGCCUGGGGAGUACGGCCGCAAGGUUAAAACUCAAAUGAAUUGACGGGGGCCCGCACAAGCGGUGGAGCAUGUGGUUUAAUUCGAUGCAACGCGAAGAACCUUACCUACUCUUGACAUCCUGCGAAUUCGGUAGAGAUACCUUAGUGCCUUCGGGAACGCAGAGACAGGUGCUGCAUGGCUGUCGUCAGCUCGUGUUGUGAAAUGUUGGGUUAAGUCCCGUAACGAGCGCAACCCUUGUCCUUAUUUGCCA
rnacentral:rRNA from 1 species